rnacentral:rRNA from 1 species
UACAGAGGUCCCAAGCGUUGUUCGGAUUCACUGGGCGUAAAGGGUGCGUAGGUGGCUUGGUAAGUUUGAUGUGAAAUCUCCGGGCUUAACCCGGAAAUGGCAUUGAAUACUAUUGAGCUGGAGGUUUGGAGGGGGACUGGAAUUCUCGGUGUAGCAGUGAAAUGCGUAGAUAUCCGGAGGAACACCAGUGGCGAAAGCGGCCACCUGGACUGUACCUGACGCUCAAACGCGAAAGCUAGGGGAGCGAACGGG